CUGCUUUUUCAGGACUCAGAAUCCUCAAGCGAUGGCUGCCUAUACCAUUGGUUUCCCCUUGUCUCCAAGACAAGGAGCUUCCCCCCUUCCCAGAGUUCCCCAGGCCAUUUGGUGUCCAUGCAGAACAUGCUCACGAGGGGCAGUUUGAGAUUGCAAGGACAGUUCCUUGCCCCAUGCCAGCCACAUCCCUGCUGAGCUUCUCCCCAGUGUCUCCCAGGCCGUGCAGGAUGUGGGAACCCAGGACGCUACAGCCAGAGUGGGGGCAGCCACAGAUCCCACUGCAGCCAGGCAAUAAGAAGCAGUCAGGGCUUGGGAGUGUCUCAGUGCCCCUCAGCAGGACCAGUCAUGCCCCCAUUGCUGCCGGGGGCCGCCUGGAGCCAUCUCUCCAUCCACAACAUCGGCCGGGAUGGAGCACGGCCCUGGGUUGCCAUACCAACGCAGGUGCUAACGGGUGUUGACUAACUGUGAGCUGAUCGGAUCAGAGAAUGGUAGGGCUGAGUUGCCAUGGCAACCGAGAUGCCAAAUUGGAAAUGGUGUCGAUAGCAAAGGUACUCAAGAGGUGGCAAGUGUGCGCAGGGGGCAGUGCCCGGCCGGAGGCUGCAAGCACCCCAGUGGGCGUCUACCUGCCCAGGCCACCCACGGCUCCUCCUCCUGGGGUGGUGGGAUGGUUCAGGGCACUGCAGCAGCUUGGCUGUAUCCCACGUGCCAGCCCCAGGUCCUCCAUUUCAUGGGGCACAGCUCCCCUGCUUCCUUCUUCCCUCUCCUCCUCCUCUGCUGUCCUGGCAGACACGGCCAGGAGUCAGUGCUGCUCACUGUGGCAAUCCCCAAAGGAUUCGGUUCCCCAGCCCAGGGGUGCAGGGCACGUGCCUGGAGGGAUGAUUCCACCCACAAGCAUCAUUCAAGCCACUCUCCCAGACACUGAGGAAAAUGCCUUUGGGGCACAGCCUAUUUCUAAUGUGAUUUUUCAUCAUCUCACCUAGUCUACAGUCCAAAAAUCACAAUGAAAGGGCUUCUGUGUCUCCACAAAAUGCAAAAUCUUUAACGGCUCAUUGGCAUGUGCUUAAGUUGGCCUGGAUAAGAAGUUACUCCUGAGAACCUGCUAUUGAUUCUGUCAGGGAUUCAAAGGUUUUAUAGGCAUCGCUCAGGAUCUCUUUAGUACUUGUACCUUCUUAAUGGCUCUCAUCACUGACAGAACUGGAAACAUCCCCCAGUGCCCUGGGAAGCAGCUGACUCCAUGCCAGGAGCUGAUGCCAUGCUGCUGCCCAGGAGGGUGUCUGCCCUCCCGGCCAGCUGGGUGAGCCUCCUGGGCACCCUGGAGGGAAGGUCCUUCCAUGGCUCCUCCAGGGUCUUUUAGGAGGUGGGGCAGACACUGGGGCUAGGGAAAGGGGUGGGCAAACUGCACCCGGGAAGGCUCCUCUCCUCCUACCACUAUGCAACAAAAUCAGUGGGCAGGUGGCUGAGUAGCAGACAGAAAUAUAAACAUGCUCUGAUUUCACUGGGACCAUCUGGCUCAGGCAUGAUAGGCGGGUAGGGAUGCUAUAAUCAUGGACAGAGAACUAAGCUGAUCCAUUAAAGUCUUUUAGCAGAAGCAACUAUGGAACCUGUAUUAAUCCAACAAUGCUUUGUGAACAGACAUCACAAGGUUAGAUCCAUUCAGCUGCAAUUAAAACCAACCCUCACUGAUCAGGCUGGCUGGGAGAGCUGUUGCAGCAUUGUGUUCCCCAAGGCUCUCAUGAGUAUAGACUGUUGAUGCUCACACAAUGCAAUCUGAAAUUAUGAUCUAAAUGCUAAAUCUUGCUUUCUUCUGUUCUUUCCCCAAGUGGAUCUCCUCUGGGACAUGGCUGUUGCCUUGUGCCAAAAUCCUUUGCCUAUCUGACUGCAUGGCUCUCAUACAAAUUGGACAGGCUCAGUUAUAGCAAAGCAGCCCUAGUCUGAGCUUCUUGCACAGCGCUGGAACGAGGACUUACGGGCAGGCAGUGGUGUCCUGCCUCCUCUCACUGAGGAUGUUCAAGUCAAGUCCCCAGGCCCCUGCAGCUACAAUGGGCCUGCGUUACAUGAAAUGCCCACGCACGUGCCAUCUCUGCUCGCAGGACAGAAAUCCUCUCUGAAACGUGCAGUCCAGUGCACCUUGUUGGCAGCAGUCAUUGCAGACCUUCACCUCCCACUCCCUUGGGAUUUCUGAUCUGGAAACUCUGCCAGUACACAGCAUGAUGAGCCCCUCAUCGCCAGCUGUGUCCUCCUACCCCAAGCACAGUGGCAGGAACCCGCAUGGACACCCGUGCAGGAGAGCUCCCGUCCAGCUUGGCCUUGCUGGUUGCUAACUGAUGCCCGUGGAAGUUUCAAAGACUGUCAACAACACAGCCCACAGUAUUGCAGGCUGUGCUUCCUGGAACAGUCAGCUGGAUUUGGGAAAGCUACAGGUGAGCAGGAGAGCUGUGUGCACACCAUGCAUCUGAUGUUAAACACGGAUCAGGCUCAUCUGGGCAUUUCAAACCUACUCCAGUUUCCCAAAGAUGUGCCUUUCCUGGGAGGGAAGGCCAUGAAAAUAGAAUAUUAAAAUGUAGUGGUUUGGA